rnacentral:rRNA from 1 species
GAAUUGUAAUCUAAAUGCCUUUUAGGGAAAGCAUGGCUCUCGCAUAAGUUCCUUGAAAAGGGAUGUCAAAGAGGGUAAAAACCCCGUGUUAGGCGAGUGCUAGCUGUACCGAAGGGUUACAAGAGUCGGGUUGUUUGGGAUUGCAGCCCUAAAUGGGAGAUAAACUUCUUCUAAAGCUAAAUAUUUAUGGGAAACCGAUAGCAAACAAGUACUACGAAGGAAAGAUGAAAAGAACUUUGAAAAGAGGGUUAAAAGACUUGAAAUCGUUGAGAAGAAAAGCGGUAGAAGAGAAAUGAUUUCCUCAUCAAGUCUCAUCCAAAAGUAUUACCUUUGCAGUGUCAGAUACUUCAUAGGGUCGGCAAGGCAACUGGAAAGUGCUUGGGGUGUUUUUGGUGGGUGAAGUACACGAUGAGGUCACGUUCCGGGAAACGUGGGAGAAAAGACUAUGCCCUAGAUGGUGUAAGCUCUCCUAACUCACCGGAAGGUGGCCUGAGGGUCCAACUGGAGAUCGUGUAAAAAAGGCUUCUACUGACCCGUCUUGAAACACGGACCAAGGAGUCUACCCCAUAUGCGAGUCUUAGGGUGGAAAAACCUGAAGGCGUAGCGAAAGCAAGUAUAAGCUGUGAACCCGCAAGGGCGCAACAGCGGCCAACCUUGAUUUUCGAAUGAAAGGAUUGAGCAAGAGCAUAUUUGGUAGGACCCGAAAGAUGGUGAACUACGCUUGAGUAGGGUGAAGCCAGGGGAAACUCUGGUGGAGGCUCGAAGCGUUACUGACGUGCAAAUCGUUCGUCAAACUUGAGUGUAGGGGCGAAAGACUAAUCGAACCAUCUAGUAGCUGGUUCCCUCUGAAGUUUCUCUCAGGAUAGCUGGAACAAGAUCGCAGUUUUAUCAGGUAAAGCGAAUGAUUAGAGGAAUCGGAGAUCAAAGAUCUUUGACCUAUUCUCAAACUUUAAAUUGGUAAGAGCCUGUAGUUUCUUAAAUGAACUAUGGGGUAGAAUGCGUUGUUCUUAGUGGGCCGUUUUUGGUAAGCAGAACUGGCGAUGAGGGAUGAACCUAACGCUUAGAUAAGGUGCCAAAGUUCCCGCUCAUCAGAUACCAUAAAAGGUGUUGGUUCAUAUAGACAGCAGGACGGUGGCCCUGGAAGUCGGAAUCCGCUAAGGAGUGUGUAACAACUCACCUGCCGAAUGAACUAGCCCUGAAAAUUGAUGGCGCUGAAGCGGGACACCGAUACUAAGCCAUCGAAGCAAAUGUGAGGCUUCGAUGAGUAAGAGGGCGUGAGCGCUGUGCAGAAGCCUUUAUCGUGAGAUUGGGUCGAACAGCGUUUAGUGCAGAUCUUGGUGGUAGUAGCAAAUAUUCAAAUGAGAACUUUGAAGACCGAAGUGGAG